rnacentral:lncRNA from 1 species
GCGCUCUUUCUGGGAGGAGCCUGGGGGGGGGAGGGUCCUGCCCACGGGCCCCGCCCUGCACUAGGCGGAAGCCCCCAAAGUAUCAGCGCCGCUUCGUGGAGCCUGGCGACUGCUUUGGGAAGUCCUGCUGGCAGGCACUCUGCCCCUGGGGGUGUGCAAAGAGUUGUCCAGUUACCUUGAUCUUCUCACAGCCUCCUCCCCAGGGCACCAGGAGAGACCAGGAUUGGAGGACGGUAAAGAACACACUUCCCAGAGGAUUCUUGGAGGUGGCUUCCUCCAGGCAGUAAAUCUACAGCCCAGGCUCCCUGCAUCUUAUGGCUCCAAUCACUUUGGAUCUCAUCGUCGCCUGCACAUUGCCAUACACAGGGAAGGAGAAGAGAUGGAGAAGGCAAAGACUUUCUGAAAGCCGUGGCUAAAAGCUGGCAUGUGUCACAUCAGCUCACAUUCCAUUGUAGAGACGGGGUUUCACCGUGUUAGCCAGGAUGGUCUUGAUAUCCUGACCUCGUGAUCCGCCCGCCUUGGCUUCCCAAAGUGCUGGGAUUACAGGCGUGAGCCACCGCUCCCGGCCUGGCAGGCAUUCUUGAGGCAAACGGGAAAUGGGUGAACGGGAGGAACAUUGGCAGCACUUGUGGUCUGCACCAAGAACUGAAUCGAAUUUCCAUGUGUUAUUGAAUGUUCACAAAGACCUUGUACAGCGAGUGUUACUACCUCUGGUCAAUGAUUCAACUCAAGGCUCAGAAAAGUCAAGUGUCUUGUCCAGGGACACUUAGUCAGAAGUGAAUCCAAGGUUUAAGCUCAAGUCUGCCUAACUCUGAAUUUCACAGCCUUUUGCUACAUAUGGCGAAUAAUAUAUCCCUGAGCACUAAAGGCAGACUCCAAGGAUCUUGUCUCUGCAAUCAUCAUUCUGGCCAUAAUUUAUGAAAAGCAACCCAAAGUAUGUGAUGUAAUAAAAAGUACUAUCUAUGAGUUUACCCUUCCAAAAAUUGAACUGAAUUCUGAGCUCUAAAUUUGGAAUCAAAAGAACUUUUCUCUGCACUAAUCAUUUGGAACAUCACUUAAAGAAAACAACGAAAAACUGGUGUCCCCUGAGAGAAAGCAAUACAAAACAUUAUGCAUAAAGAAAUCCUUCCAAAAAAUAAACCAAAUCCAGUCAAAUCUCUAGUUUUGACUCCUAGCUUACCGGAAAUACGUGAUGGGAAAAAAAUGAAAUGACACCACUAUGAUUCAAUCAGCCAAAUCCAGCAUAUGCAAAUUUCUACCAGAUAAAUGGUUUAGUUUCUUCCCCAAACAAAUGGCACAAGGAAACGGAGGUAAGAAUGGGAUGCUGUUAUAGAUUUUAAAAGAUUUAAGAAAGUAUAAACUAAAUACACUAUGUGCAUCCUCUCUGAACGUGCUUCAAACAUAUCAAGGGGUCAAUGAGCAGUUUUGAAACAAUAAGGGAAUUUGAACACUGAAUGGUUGUCAGAAGAUAGUAAGAGAUCAUUAUUAAUUUUACUAGACAUAAUGAUGUUCUGAUUUUGUUUUUUUUUUAAAAAAAAAACAGUGUUAUUUCCUUUAUAGAUACAUCAUAUAGUAUUAACUAAUGAAAUGCUUUGAUAUCUGGAACGUUUAAAAAAUAUUCCCGAUGGAGUAAGUGCAAAGAAACAGGUAAGCAAAAUGCUGAUAAUUGCUGAAACACAGGAUGUGUACCUGGGGCUUCAUUUACUAUCUCUUCAUUUUCUAUUUUGAUAUUUGUUGGACAUUCUCAUAAAAAGGAAAGUUAUGUUUUAUUUUCUCAUAAGCUAGUAAUGAAAUAGCCCUACGUAACUGAUAUUGUAGAGACAAGAAUAGGUGUAAUAGAGCUUAAGGUUUUCAUUUAAAAAACUAUCUGUAGACUUCAAUGGAUCUUAGGUGGCAUCCAUGCAAUAACACUCGUGGAACAUGCAGGACAGGUGUGGAGCUCCAUCUUCACACAGUGACAUUUUUUAUGCUUCUGUUUUCCCUAAGAGUGGAGUGAGAGGAUGAUUAUUUUAUAUCAUGGACUUCUUCCCUGCUAUACUUUUUUUAAUUAUUUUACUUUCACUUCUGGGAUACAUGUGCUGAGCAUGCAGGCUUGUUUACAUAGGUAUACAUCUGCCAUGGUGGUUUGCUGCACCUAUCAACCCAUCAUACAGGUUUUAAGCCCUGCAUGCAUUAGGUAUUCGCCCUAAUGCUCUCCCUCGCCUUUCCCCCCACCCCCUGAUAGCCCCCAGUGAGUCAUAUUCCCCUCCCUGUGUCCAUGUGUUCUCAUUGUUCAACUCCCAUUUAUGAGUGAGAAUAUGUGGUGUUUAGUUUUCUGUUCCUGUGUUAGUUUGCUGAGAAUGAUGUUUUCCAGCUUCAUCCAUGUCCCUGAAAAGGACAUGAGCUCAUUCUUUUUUAUGGCUGCAUAGUAUUCCACGGUGUUAUAUGUGCCACAUUUUCUUAAUCCAGUCUGUCAUUGAUGGACAUUUGGGUUGUUUCCAAGUCUUUGCUAUUGUAAAUAGUGCUGCAAUAAACAUAUGUGUGCAUGUGUCUUUGUAGUAGAAUGAUUUAUAAUCCUUUGGGUAUAUGCCCAGUAAUGGGACUGAUGGGUCAAAUGGUAUUUCUGGUUCUAGAUCCUUGAGGAAUUGCCACACUGUCUUCCACAAUGGUUGAACUAAUUUAUACUCCCACCAACAGGGUAAAAGCAUUCCUAUUUCUCCACAUCCUCUCCAGCAUCUGUUGUUUCCAAAUGUUUUAAUGAUUGCCAUUCCACCUGGCGUGAGAUGGUAUCUCAUUGUGGUUUUGAUUUUCAUUUCUCUAAUGACCAGUGAUGAUAAGCUUUUUUUCAUAUGUUUGUUGGCCACAUAAAUGUCUUCUUUUGACUUUUAUGUGGAAACAAAUUUAACUGCACAGAGAGGUGAAAAUUAAUUAAUAACUUUUAAAGUAAUUCCCUAAGUUUCUAAGGAUCUAUAUGUUUCCAUCUGACUUUAUUUUAUUUAAGCUCUUGAUUGAUGCUGCAUUUGGAGCAGGUUCAUGAACAUGAAUAGAGUUAAUCUGGGACAGAUUUCCCUCAUUUGAUUUUUUCACUGUUUCCAUCACAGAACUUAUUUCAUGCUCACCAUGUUUGCAGGCAUUGAGCUUGGUACUGGAGCCACAGAGCUGGAUCAGACAGACUUGUGCAAAUAUUUCAGGUUUUUUUUGUGGGGGGGUCAUAUUUAUAGAUAAAUAACAGUAAAGAGUGACGGGUUCUUAUGAAAAUGCAUACACAGUGAAGUAGAGGGUGAAAAGGAGGGAUGUGUUCUAUGAGGAGGAAGAGUGAUAAGAAAGUGUAAGGGGAUGUGUCUGUGUCUAGACAUAUGUGUGUUCACGUGUGUGCGUGCUUGUGUGUACUGCAUGUGUAUAUGUGUGGCCAUGCACCUGUGUGCAUGUUCAUGUGUGUGUGUGUAUGUGUCUGUGUUGAGGACUAAAUUAAUUGGGCUUAUGGAAGCAGGGAGCCACUGAUAGGUUUAAUUAGAGACUGACAUGAUAUGAUAGUUUAGGUGGAUUUCUCUGGGGGCUGUGUUGAGGGACAGUGGGGAGGAGAGCUAGAAGGAAGAAAAGGACACAUGCAUAACAGAAGCAAUAUCUGUCUAUGGGAUGGUGGAAAGAAUCAGAAAAGACUUAAUAAAACAUGUGACACUUUAACUGAAUCUUGAAAUAGACAAGUGUUGGAGGAGGGAGUUGGACCAGAUACUUCAUGCAAAGGGAAGAAAAGUGCACAAACAAAAUAUGAGAAACAAGGCAGACAGGCAUUUUUUUAAAAUUUUCGCACCCACUGAUAGACCAGUGAUGCAUUCACAUCGUCUGCAUUCAUGAUCAACAAAAGUGCUUUCCUAGAACAUGAACCUCAACCCAAGUGUCGCCUCAAGUAGUGUAUGCAUGAACUCAAGCAUUAAAUUAGAAUUGAUUUUUUAAAAAACUCACACAAACAGAUGUAUUAUUUAAAAAUCUUUAAAGCAGGUUUAAACAGUUUUCAGGAUUAAAAGCAGCCACUAUUAGAAAGAACAAAAAUACAUUUGACAUAAAUAUAAGGAGCCUCAAUAGAACCUCCUGUACCCAGUCAUUGUCAAUGCCACAUCCAUUCAUUCACCAGCCCUUAUAUCAAUGCUUGCUGGGCUCACUUACCACGAUCAGCACGUGCAUGUCCUUAUCUGAAAGCUUGCCACUCAAAUGUGCUCAGUCUUACCUGUGUGGCUGGGAGUGUUGGGGAUUUAAUGUCAAGGGAAAGAAUCUUCCAUCAAUGAAUGAUGAAAGUUAGUUUUCACAACUUCCGGUCCCCUUGGCCCUCAUCAAAGGGCUCCAGGUGAGGUUUGGGCUCCUUGCUAUCCUCCGAGUUUCCACGGUAGUUUUAAGCACCAUUGCCCGUGGUAAUGGCUGACAUUGAUACUGCACUUUUUUUUUAUUUAAGAUGGAGUUCCCCUCUGCCACCCAGACUGGAGUACAGUGGCGCGAUCCUGGCCAUCGCAACCUCCGCCUCCCAGGUUCAAGCGAUUCUCCUGCCUCAGUCUCUCAAGUAGCUGGGAUAUGGGCACCUGUCACCAUGCCCAGCUAAUUUUUUUAAAAUUUAUUUUUAGUAGAGAUGGGGUUUCACCAUGUUGGCCAGGCUGGUCUCGAACUCCUGACCUCAGGUGAUCCACCCACACUUUUUAUUGUUUGCCUACACUUUCUAGACUUGCUUCAUCAGCCUACUCCGUUUCUGGUUGAUAUGGUUUGGUUGUGUCCCCACUCAAAUCUUAUCUAGAAGUGUAAUCCCCAAGUCUCAAGGGAGGGACCUGGUGUGAGGUGAUUGGAUUGGGGGGUGGUUCCCGCCAUGCUGUUCUCAUGAUAGUGAGUGAGUUCUCAUGAGAUCUGAUGGUUUUAUAAGGCAGUUUUCCCUAUUCUUGCUCACUCUUCUCUCUCUUUCUGCCAUGUGAAGAAGGUCCUUGCUUCCCCUUCACCUUCUACCAUGAUUGUAAGUUUCCUGAGGCCUCCCCUCAGCCAUGCACAACUGUGAGUCAAUUAAACCUCUUUCCUUUAUAAAUUACUCAGUCUCAGGUCGUAUCUUUAUAGCAGUAUGAGAAUGGACUAAUACACUGGUCUAUCCUUCAUCCAAAUUAACUACCUGCACUGCAGUCCUUGUCUCAGGCUCUGCUUUGAGGGACCCCAACUGUGACAGCCGCAUUAGAAUGCAUCACAUACUGCAGUGAAAUUCUAGAGUGGGUGUUGUCAGGUGGUGAUGAUUGUUAGAUAUGUCAGUCUGUUUUCAGGCUGCUGAUAAAGACAUACCUGAGACUGGGUAAUUUAUAAAGGAAAAGGAGGUUUAAUGGACUCACAGUUCCACAUGGCUAGGGAGGCCUCACAAUCAUGGCAGAAGGUGAAAGGCACGGCUUACAGGGUGGCAGCAAGAGAGGAAAUGAGAACCAAGUGAAAAGGUUUCUGCUUAUAAAACCAUCAGCUCUUGUGAGACUUAUUCAUUACAAUGAGAACAAUAUGGGGGAAACUGCCCCCAUGAUUCAAUUAUCUCCCACCAGAUCCCUCCUACAACACAUGAGAAUUGUGGGUGCUACAAUUCAAGAUGAGAUUUGAGUGGGGACAAAGUCAAACCAUAUCAUUAGAUAGGACACUGGAGAAAGGCAAGAAAGAAAAGACAUCUGAAGAAUGAAGGGAGCCAAAGAAAUGCCAACAUUUUGCUUUUUGAAGAAAAGCUAAAUUAAAGUCAAAAUGGAUUUAUCAAUUUCCUUGGGUUCGUGAAUGUACAGAACUUUAUUAAGACUGUCAUGCUGUCAUCAUGGCUGGAUCUGAUACGGCCACCGUGGACCUUGAGGUGACCUCGGGAAUGGAGACAGUGCAUGGGAGAGAAUCACAUUGGAAGGGGCCUGGGUUUCUGAAGACCCUGUAAGACAGAUCUCCUUGCAGCCCUGACUGCCCACAUUAGGGCUUUUAUGUUAGGGUGAAGUUACCUUGCAUUGUCAUAUAAGCAAUUGCUAUUUGUGGUGUCUUGCAAAUAAACCUAUUCUGAUCUAGUAUGUUUCCUAAAAAACAAAAGUUUGAACCCAGCUCUUUACGUGUUACAUGUUCUGAAUACAAAAAUAAGACCCAGUUUCUGCCCCCUAGCAGGACCCAAAACCCCUCAGUGAAGGCAUACACCAUAGGAAUAAUCUCACAAGUACUUU